UCACUGGUGCUUCAGUGGUAGAAUUCUUGUCUUCCAUGCAGGAGAUCUGGGCUUGAUUCUCAGCCAGUGCA
rnacentral:tRNA from 1 species